rnacentral:rRNA from 1 species
AAGGGGAGGAAGAGAAACUAACCAGGAGUCCUUUAGUAACUGCGAGUGAAACAGGAGUAGCCCAGCUCCGAAUUGUCUCCGGACAACGUGUGGAGUAUGGGAUUGGUUUAUUAUUUAUUCGUUGAUGACUUCAAGUUUGCUGGAUUGCAACACUUUAUAGGGUGAUAGUCCCUCGUUGUCUGAUACGUUUAUUUAUUUGGCCAGUCCCUUGAGUCGAGUUGUUUGAAAAUGCAAUUCAAAGUAGGAGAUAUGCCUCUUCUAAGGCUUUAUAUGAAGUACGGGUCCGAUAGCGAACAAGUACCGUGAGGGAAAGUUGAAAAGCACUUUGAAAAGAGAGUGAAAAGCACGUGAAACCGUAGAGAUGCAAACGUUUGGGUUGCUAUUAUGCUUCGAUACUGACUAUUGUCGGUGCACGUGAAGCUGGUGUUCAGUGAGACUUUCGCGACGUUCAUUUUUGCCUACAUCUUCUUCGGUCGUAUGUAGCGUUUUUGAUAAACAGGUGAUGUGUUGCUUAAUCUUACUAGUACUACUCUAAAGAGCAUCUAUUCAGUAGCCUAAUCGACCCGUCUUGAAACACGGACCAAGGAGUCUGAGUAUACUGCAAGCUUAAACGUAGGUAAAUUCGUUAGAGCGCAAUGAAAGUGAAAACUAGCCUAGCUAGUACUUGUGGUGAUGGUUUGCUUAUGCAAACAGGCAACCGCGGACGGUCAACCAAUUGAGGUUGCACUGAUCUGGAGUAGUAUGCUCAGGACCCGAAAGAUGGUGAACUAUGCUUGGACAGGGUGAAGCCACGGGAAACCAUGGUGGAGGCCCGCAGCGGUUCUGACGUGCAAAUCGAUCGUCUGAUCCGAGUAUAGGGGCGAAAGACUAAUCGAACCAUCUAGUAGCUGGUUCCUUCCGAAGUUUCCCUCAGGAUAGCAAAAGUUGAAUUUAAACAGUUUUAUCGGGUAAAGCGAAUGAUUAGAGGCCUGGGGGAAGCCUAUUCUUCCACCUAUUCUCAAACUUUAAAUCGGUAAGAUGCUUUUGUGUCUUUUUUGCACAUUGGCAAUGCGAAUGUUUGACUUUUAGUGGGCCGUUUUUGGUAAGCAGAACUGGCGAUGUGGGAUGAACCAAACGCGGGGUUAAAGAGCCUAAUGACAUGCUCAUGAGCAACCACAAAAGGUGUUGAUUGAUAUAGACAGCAGGACGGUGGCCAUGGAAGUUGGAAUCCGCUAAGGAGUGUGUAACAACUCACCUGCCGAAUCAAUCAGCCCUGAAAAAGGAUGGCGUUGGAGCAUGUAUCUUAUACCCCGCCGUGAACUGUAAAGACUUGCAUAUUAUAUGCUUGAAUACGGUAGUGAAAUAUUAAUUAUCAGUUCACGAGUAGGAAGGUAUGGAUGUCGCGCUGAAUUGUUGCCGUGAGGCUGCAUGAAGCGGUAUCUAGUGCAGAUCUUGGUGGUAGUAGCAAACACUCAAGUGAGAUCCUUGAGGGCCGAAGUGGGGAAGGUUUCCAUGUGAACAGCAUUUGGACAUGGGUUAGUCGGUCCUAAGCAGCAGGCGAAGGCUAUUUGAAGGGAGGUUUUACCUCCAAGCUGCGAAAGGGAGUCGGGUCAAUAUUCCCGAACCUUGCAUAUCGGUAUACGGCGGCAACGCUAAUGUGUCUGGAUAAGGUAGUACGAUCCCGGGGAAGAGUUCUCUUUUCUUUUUGACAGUAAGCUUACCUUGGAAUGGAUUCAGUCCGCGAUAAGGUAUAAUGACUGACAGAGCACAGCAGCAUUUGCUGUGUCCCGAGUGGUCGUAAUGCUCCAUGAAAAUCCAGGAACAAUAAUACCAGUAUGCAUGGCCGUACCCACAACCGCAUCAGGUUCCCAAGGUGAGUAGCCUCUGGUCUUGAAACAGUGUAGGUAAGGGAAGUCGGCAAAUUAGAUCCGUACCUUUGGAAUAAGGAUUGCCUCUGAGGAUUGGGUGUAGUAAGCCAUAUAUUUGAAGUUGCAAAUUGUUGUUGGUCGGGAGGCCCUUUACUGGGUGUCCUGCUGACGGGAUUAGUAGCGGAUGAUGUACGGUACUUAUUGCUAUACAUUAAACAAUCAAGCUCAGAACUGGCUUGGACAAGGGGAAUCCGACUGUCUAAUUAAAACAAAGCAUUGCGAUGGCUGGCGAGUGGUGUUGACGCAAUGUGAUUUCUGCCCAGUGCUCUGAAUGUCAAAGUGAAGAAAUUCAAAUAAGCGCGGGUAAACGGCGGGAGUAACUAUGACUCUCUUAAGGUAGCCAAAUGCCUCGUCAUCUAAUUAGUGACGCGCAUGAAUGGAUUAACGAGAUUCCCGCUGUCCCUAUCUACUAUUCAGCGAAACCACAGCUAGGGGAACGGGCCUAGCAUUAUCAGCGGGGAAAGAAGACCCUGUUGAGCUUGACUCUAGUCUGACAUUGUGAAGUGGCUCGGAAGGUGUAGAAUAGGUGGGAGCUUCGGCGACAGUGAAAUACCACUACUUUCGGUGUCAUUUUACUUAUCUGGUUAAAUGGUAAUGCAUUCAAUUGCUAUUUUUUAGUUGAAGGUCUUGUGCUUAGGUGGGAGAUCGGACUUACCCAGAGACAUUGUCAGGUGGGGAGUUUGACUGGGGCGGUACAUCUGUCAAAAGAUAACGCAGGUGUCCUAAGGCUGACUCAGUGAGGACAGAAACCUUGCAUAGAGCAAUAGGGCAAAUGUCAGCUUGAUCUGGAUUUUCAGUGUGAAUACAGACUGCGAAAGGGGGGCCUCUCGUUUCUUUUGAUUUUACAGGCUUUAAGCAAGAGGCCCAGAAAAUAGGCCGAAGUGUAGAAGGCAGUUGAGAAGACAGAAGACAGUGGGGGAUCAGAAAUGUCUGAUUCUGACGCUGAAAAGGAAUUUAUUUCUCCAGAAUUGCAACUUCAAAAUGGAAUGCAGGAACAGAAAGCAACAAGUUCAUGGGAAAUUCAAUUGCGAAGCAGAAUUCGCAAAGUGUUGGAUUGUUCACCCACUAACAGGGAACGUGAGCUGGGUUUAGUCCGUCGUGAGACAGGUUAGUUUUACCCUACUGAUUAUACCAACCAUUGGAGUAGUAUUUCCACUCAGUACGAGAGGA